AUGAGGAGUUUUUUGGAUUUUUUAUUUUUUGUUUUUUAUUCAUUAAAUCCAUUGAGAUAUUGUAUUUUAUCAUUCUGUCUUCUUUUAUUGGCUGAUAUAUCACAGCAUAUAAUAAGAAUUUAUAAAACGUAUAUAGCUGGUAUAAAUGGUUAUCGUUUAUACUUUUAAUAAUUACGUAUGUAUUUUACGUUCACGUUAACAGAAACACAGAGGUAAAUAAGAUACCGUGUUUUUUUUCUUCUAUUUUUAGUAACUUACAGGCAGGACUAUGUUUCCCCUGGUCUAUCUAUAAUAAUGUCUCUAUAGUUAUAUUAAGCAUUUAUACAAUUUAUAUAUUGUAUAACAGUAGUAACAAUAAAAUAUUACAGGAGAAUAAUUGAAAGCUGAGUAAAUUGAAUAGAAAGAGGAUAUUCAAUAGGCGCGCGGAAUCAUGGACUUGUUCGCAUGCGUUGGUAGACAAAGACAGAUAAGGUACCGACACUGAACUAUUCUAAUUAAUACAGUUCAGUGGGUACUGCAGUUUUCUUUCCGAGAGGUGCCAGAUUAGCCAAUACAUGAAAAUAUCAGUGAACUUUACUGGUAGGAGUACCAACGUUUAUAACGAAUACCGAUUACAAUAAGAGUAAUUGUACGACAACUUCAUCAUCAACUCACCAUACUGUCAACGAAACGUCGAAAAUGUGGAAAAAGUGUACGAACAUUGGUAAAAUUAGAUCAUAUUUAUUAUAACGAUCGAAGCAUGGAACCAUGUGGUCGCUGAGACAUGAAACAAUGACCCGUGAUGAAUGCAGAAAAUAUUUGCGAUGUUUAGUCUCGAAAGAAUCGUACAUGUCGAAAAAUGUAACGCAGUUUUAUAAUAGGUAUUAAUAUCCUAAUGCACGCUAUUUGCGUCAUUGAAAAAUAGAUAAUGGAAACCUGAAGAGCUAUACUUGAUAAUCAUUACAAAUUUAUGGAUGUAUUAAUAUUUACCGAUGUAUAAAUAUGUAUUCAUUUGUUAUUAAAUAUAACUAAAAUACACAAA